AACAAACGCUGGCGGCGUGCCUAACACAUGCAAGUCGUACGAGAAAGGGUCCUUCGGGACCUGAGUAAAGUGGCGCACGGGUGAGUAACGCGUGGAUAAUCUGCCCUUCAGUUGGGAACAACUCAUCGAAAGGUGGGCUAAUACCGAAUAACACUGCAAGACUUUGGUCGAGCAGUCAAAGAGAGCCUCUGCUUGCAAGCCCUCGCUGAAGGAUGAGUCCGCGUACCAUUAGCUGGUUGGCAGGGUAAUAGCCUACCAAGGCGACGAUGGUUAGCUGGUCUGAGAGGAUGAUCCCCCACACUGGUACUGAGACACGGACCAGACACCUACGGGAGGCUG
rnacentral:rRNA from 1 species